AUUGAACGCUGGCGGCAGGCCUAACACAUGCAAGUCGAGCGGAGCGGCGGACGGGUGAGUAAUGACUAGGAAUCUGCCCGGUCGCGGGGGAUAACGUCCGGAAUCGGGCGCUAAUACAGCAUACUAUCAGAUGAGCCUUGGUCGGAUUAGCUAGUUGGUGGGGUAAAGGCUUACCAAGGCGACGAUCCGUACCUGGUCUGAGAGGAUGAUCAGUCACACUGGAACUGAGACACGGUCCAGACUCCUACGGGAGGCAGCAGUGGGGAAUAUUGGACAAUGGGCGAAAGCCUGAUGCAGCCAUGCCGCGUGUGUGAAGAAGGUCUGCGGAUUGUAAAGCACUUUAAGUUGGGAGGCGUUACCAGCAGAAUAAGCACCGGCUAACUUCGUGCCAGCAGCCGCGGUAAUUC
rnacentral:rRNA from 1 species